GCUGUGGCGGCAGCGCCGGGGUGGCCGCGGCUCCGUCACCGGCCCAGCCUGGGUGGGGGCCGGGCGGGAGCGCGCCCUGGGCUCGGGGCUGAAGUGAAGUGGGAUCUCAUAGUUAAGAAGAGGCAGGACCGAUCUCUUUGUGGUGACCAGUGACAGGAUCCGAGAGAAUGGCCUGGAGCUCAGUCAGGGGAGGUUUAUGUUGGAUAUCAGGAAACGGUUCAUCGCCCGGAGGUGGUUGGGCGCUGGAACGGGCUCCCCAGGGAAGUGGUCACAGCACCAGCCUGAGAGAGUUAAAAAGCUUUAGGACAGCACUUUCAGGCACAUUGUGUGGUUCUUAGGACUGUCGUGUGCAGAGCCAGGAAUGGGACUCGGUGGUCCUUGUCGGUCCCUUCCAACUCGGCUUCAUGUUUCCCCCAGAUGGGACAAUGACUGAAGAGCUGCAUGGAAGAGAAGGUGACGACAGAGAUAGUCCUGUCAUAACUCAGUCACUCUCUAAAGAGACAAAGCAGAAGAAAGGCACUGGGCUGAGCACAAAAAUAGCCUGAAAGGAGAAAACUUCAAACUGUCUGAGACCUGCAACUAAAAUAUGCCAAAACUUAUUGCUGCUUCAAGUGGCAUGAAGUCCUGCUUAGUGCCCAGCAGGAAUGAUGUAUAUUUAGUGAGUGACUUCAAUUUCAGCACUGAAAACAUGGAUAUUCCACCAUCUUACUAGGACCCAAAUCCCAUCCACUACUGUAGUAGUGAUUUCAGACAUUGGCUUGAAUGAAACCUUUUCCUACAAUUUUCAAAUUCAGUUCUCAACAGCAAAAGGGUGGGAGGUUCAGAAAUAACAUGGUAACAGGUGACCACUGAGAUGUGAAUAAAACAGAGCAAAAUCAUGUUCUUUAUUGCUUUUCAUUACACCAGGACAUCUACUGUAGUGUGAAAAACUAAAUUAAAGACCUGGUAAAUGUGAAAGAGUAAAGUAUCUCCAGCUGCAUGCAGUAAGGAUGCAAUAGCAUUAAGGAAUCCUGAGGUUAUUACAAACUACAGGUACAGGGCUCCAUAGAUUGUGUACUUUCAUGAGGGACACUGGAAAAAAAUGACAUGUACGCUGAAUAUAUGUAGACUUUGUAAAUAUGUUAAUAGUUACAUUGAAGAUUCAGAUUUUGCUAUAAGAAUCAUUAGGAAGUACAAUCUUAGUGGAAAGUUAAGUAACUUAUAAUUUGUCCUAAUACUUUAAACCUGAACACGAAUGAGGUGGGUUUUUGUUAAUAGUAAGCCAUACCUUUUGGGAAUACUCUUAUCAUGUAUGUGCAAAAAAACCUCCCCAAAAUGUUUAAAUACAUUUAACAGGCCAGAAUUUGUCUCAAGGUCAGUUGUACUGAAAUUUUGUAGUUAAGUUCGUAUCUUCACUUUUUCUUGGUGACUGAAGUUUUUUAUUGUUUCAAUGCCAUUACAAAGAACUGCCCUAAGAAUAUCCAUGUAAGAACUUUUCUAUAUGAAAGCGCUAAAUAAAAGCAGCAUUUGUCACUGAUUAGCCUGGACGUCUCGGAGAAGCAUAAUAAAAUCACAGUACAGCUU